rnacentral:ncRNA from 1 species
CAAAAAUCAAUGAUGAAGAGAGUACAAUGAGUAGAAUGAGUAGACAUGCAAAGCGAGCCAGGGAUGGUGAAAGCCUGCGCGAUUCGUCUCUUGUUGGAAGCGCACUUCUGAGAUGUCUACUUGAACAUUGUCGUAGAGUAGAUCGGGUGAUGUCGUUAUUCAUUUUUUAAAGUGGGUUCAGUACUGAACAACAAGAGUGGUACCGCGGGUAUGCCCGUCUCUUUC